AGAGUUUGAUCAUGGCUCAGGAUGAAUGCUAGCGGCGUGCCUAAGGUAUGCAAGUCGACCGUGAACAAACGACGCAAGUCGUGAGUCGAACGGGGCAAACGGCUGAGUAACACGUAGGAAUCUACCCUUAUCUCGGGGAUAACCCGCCGAAAGGCGGACUAAUACCGGAUAAAAUCUUUCGGAGGGAUCUGAAAGAUCAAAGGUGGCCUCUCCAUGGAUGCUACUGCCUGAGGAUGAGCCUGCGUCCCAUUAGCUUGUUGGUAGGGUAAUGGCCUACCAAGGCUACGAUGGGUAGCUGGUCUGAGAGGAUGACCAGUCACACUGGAACUGGAACACGGUCCAGACUCCUACGGGAGGCAGC
rnacentral:rRNA from 1 species